AACGAACGCUGGCGGCAGGCUUAACACAUGCAAGUCGAACGCCCCGCAAGGGGAGUGGCAGACGGGUGAGUAACGCGUGGGAACGGGGCCUUCGAUUCGGAAUAGCCGCGGGAAACUGGGAGUAAUACCGAAUACGCCGUAUUGGGAAAGAUUAAUCGGCGAAGGAUUGGCCCGCGUUGGAUUAGCUAGUUGGAGGUGUAAUGGACCCCCAAGGCUACGAUCCAUAGCUGGUCUGAGAGGAUGCUCAGCCACACUGGGACUGAGACACGGCCCAGACUCCUACGGGAGGCAGCAGUGGGGAAUCUUGGACAAUGGGCGCAAGCCUGAUCCAGCCAUGCCGCGUGAGUGAUGAAGGCCCUAGGGUUGUAAAGCUCUUUCACCGGUGAAGAUAAUGACGGUAACCGGAGAAGAAGCCCCGGCUAACUUCGUGCCAGCCGCCGCAGUAAAAC
rnacentral:rRNA from 1 species